GUCUGGUGCCAGCAGCCGCGGUAAUUCCAGCUCCAAUAGCGUAUAUUAAAGUUGUUGCAGUUAAAAAGCUCGUAGUUAAUUUUCUGUUAAUUUUUAUAUACAAUGCUACGGUAUUUAUAUAAUAUUAACAUAAUUCAUAUUACUUUUUAGUAUAUGAAACUUUACUUUGAGAAAAUUAGAGUGCUUAAAGCAGGCUAUUGCCUUGAAUACUCCAGCAUGGAAUAAUAUUAAGGAUUUUUAUUCUUCUUAUUGGUUCUAGAAUAAAAAUAAUGAUUAAUAGGGACAGUUGGGGGCAUUUGUAUUUAACAGUCAGAGGUGAAAUUCUUAGAUUUGUUAAAGACAAACUACUGCGAAAGCAUUUGCCAAGGAUGUUUUCAUUAAUCAAGAACGAAAGUUAGGGGAUCGAAGACGAUCAGAUACCGUCGUAGUCUUAACCAUAAACUAUGCCAACUAGAGAUUGGAGGUUGUUCCUUACUC
rnacentral:rRNA from 1 species